rnacentral:rRNA from 1 species
CGGGGUGCAGCAGGCGCGAAAACUUUACAAUGCUGGCAACAGCGAUAAGGGGACCUCGAGUGCCAGGUUACAAAUCUGGCUGUCGUGAUGCCUAAAAAGCAUUGCAUAGCAAGGGCCGGGCAAGACCGGUGCCAGCCGCCGCGGUAACACCGGCGGCUCGAGUGGUAACCGUUAUUAUUGGGUCUAAAGGGUCUGUAGCCGGCCGGAUAAGUCUCUUGGGAAAUCCAGCAGCUCAACUGUUGGGCUUUCAGGAGAUACUGUCCGGCUCGAGGCCGGGAGAGGUGAGAGGUACUUCAGGGGUAGGGGUGAAAUCUUGUAAUCCUUGAAGGACCACCAGUGGCGAAGGCGUCUCACCAGAACGGACCUGACGGCAAGGGACGAAAGCUAGGGGCACGAACCGGAUUAGAUACCCGGGUAGUCCUAGCCGUAAACGAUACUCGCUAGGUGUCGGCCACGGUGCGACCGUUGUCGGUGCCGUAGGGAAGCCGUGAAGCGAGCCACCUGGGAAGUACGGCCGCAAGGCUGAAACUUAAAGGAAUUGGCGGGGGAGCACAAGGGCGAAUUCGCGG